rnacentral:rRNA from 1 species
UACGUAGGGGGCAAGCGUUGUCCGGAAUCAUUGGGCGUAAGCAGCGCGUAGGCGGCCCUGUAAGUCCGUUGUGAAAGUCAAAGGCUCAACCUUUGAAAGCCGGAUGGAUACUGCAGGGCUAGAAUCCGGAAGAGGCGAGUGGAAUUCCUGGGUGUAGCGGUGAAAUGCGCAGAUAAUCAGGAGGAACACCUAUUGCGAAGGCAGCUCGCUGGGACGUAACUGACGCUGAGACGCGAAAGCGUGGGGAGCAAACAGG